UACGUAGGGGGCAAGCGUUGUCCGGAAUCAUUGGGCGUAAAGAGCGUGUAGGCGGCUCGAUAAGUCUGCUGUGAAAGUCCAGGGCUCAACCCUGGAAGGCCGGUGGAAACUGUCGGGCUAGAGUCCGGAAGAGGCGAGUGGAAUUCCCGGUGUAGCGGUGAAAUGCGCAGAUAUCGGGAGGAACACCAAAGGCGAAAGCGCUCUGCUGGGCCGAAACUGACACUGAGAGACGAAAGCUAGGGGAGCGAACGGG
rnacentral:rRNA from 1 species